AUACGGAGGGUGCGAGCGUUAAUCGGAAUUACUGGGCGUAAAGCGUACGUAGGCGGUUGGUUAAGUUAGAUGUGAAAGCCCCGGGCUUAACCUGGGAACUGCAUUUAAAACUGGCGAACUAGAGUUGAGUAGAGGGGAGUGGAAUUUCAGGUGUAGCGGUGAAAUGCGUAGAGAUCUGAAGGAACACCAGUGGCGAAGGCGACUCCCUGGACUCGAACUGACGCUGAGGUACGAAAGCGUGGGUAGCAAACGGGAUUAGAAACCCCUGUAGUCC
rnacentral:rRNA from 1 species